rnacentral:lncRNA from 1 species
UAUAAAUACAAAUAUAAACCUGCUCAGGUAGACUGAACUGACAGAACUGGCCAUUGGCGGCUAGAACUACAGAAUGUAACAAACUAUUAUCAUGGUAUGGUUUCAGAACACUGUUACUACAUAUUCAAAUCUGACAGUAAUUUCACAUGAAAUAUUAACAUCAUAUGUAACAAGAACAGGUUCUAUAUACAGAAAACAUUAAAUGCUUAGAGAAAAAUAGUCUUAAUACAUAAACAAGAAAACACAGCAGGGAUUUCAAAAAGUUGAACAAA